rnacentral:rRNA from 1 species
UACGCGCGAUUCGCCUUACGGCUCAGUAACACGUGGCUAACCUGCCCUUGGGACAAGAACAACCCCGGGAAACUGGGGCUAAUUCGUGAUAGGCGAAGAACUCUGGAAUGAGUCUUCACCCAAAAGACGCUUACACUAUGCUUGUAGACGCCGCCCAAGGAUGGGGCCGCGACCGAUCAGGUUGUUGGUGAGGUAAUGGCUCACCAAGCCUUUUACCGGUGCGGGCCGUGAGAGCGGGAGCCCGGAGAUGGGCACUGAGACAAGGGCCCAGGCCCUACGGGGCGCAGCAGUCGCGAAAACUUUGCAAUACACGAAAGUGUGACAGGGCUAUCCCGAGUGCCAUCCGCUGAGGAAGGCUUUUACCCAGUCUAGAACGCUGGGGGAAUAAGGAGAGGGCAAGUCUGGUGUCAGCCGCCGCGGUAAUACCAGCUCUCCGAGUGGUGUGGAUGUUUAUUGGGCCUAAAGCAUCCGUAGCUGGCUGAGUUAGUCCCUUGUUAAAUCCACCGAAUUAAUCGUUGGAUUGCGGGGGAUACUGCUCGGCUAGGGGACGAGAGAGGCAGACGGUAUUUCUGGGGUAGGGGUGAAAUCCUAUAAUCCCAGGAGGACCACCAGUGGCGAAGGCUGUCUGCUAAAACGCGCCCGACAGUGAUGGAUGAAAGCUGGGGGAGCGAACCGAUUACAUACCCGGGUAGUCCUCCUGAAAACGAUGCAGACUAGGUGUUUGUACAGCCACGUUCCGUUCUAUUGCGGCAGGCAAGAUUGUUAACUCGGCCCCGUGGGGAG